UGCAAGGACACUGAGAAGACAAUCCUUAACUGGCAUCCCACUACCAACCAUGUCGAGAAGAUCUUCACUUGGAGGAGGGAGCGUGCCGGAUUCUUGUGCAAAUGAAAGUAGAAAUUGUAAAACUCCAGGCGCGUCAGCCAAGUUAACAAAGAGGUGGCUAUGAGGAAACAACACUAAGUAGUUAACACCAAGAAGCUGAUGCAUGAAAUAAAGAUUGAAAGACAUAAAUAGCUGGAAAGGGAGAUUAAAAGAAGUCAGUCCACCUCGGCAACCAGUUCAAGAAAGUAGUUAUAACUGCCAAUUAGUUAGACAGUUUUUACUGUCACUGUUCAUUCUCAAAUCAGUUAAAAAUAGUUACAAUUGUAUUCAUAGUGUAUUCCUUUUUCAGAUAAAUAGGGAAUCUGUGCAAUAAAGAAUCAUCAAUAACAAAUAUCAGUUUUUGUUCUAAA